rnacentral:rRNA from 1 species
AGCAGCCGCCGCGGUAAUACGAAGGGGGCUAGCGUUGCUCGGAAUGACUGGGCGUAAAGGGCGCGUAGGCGGCGGCCAAAGUCAGGCGUGAAAUUCCUGGGCUCAACCUGGGGGCUGCGCUUGAUACUUGGUUGCUUGAGUGGGGAAGAGGGUCGUGGAAUUCCCAGUGUAGAGGUGAAAUUCGUAGAUAUUGGGAAGAACACCGGUGGCGAAGGCGGCGACCUGGUCCUUGACUGACGCUGAGGCGCGAAAGCGUGGGGAGCAAACAGGAUUAGAUACCCCUGUAGUCCCUGUCUCUUAUAC